rnacentral:rRNA from 1 species
GUGGGGAAUCUUGCGCAAUGGGCGAAAGCCUGACGCAGCCAUGCCGCGUGGAUGAUGAAGGUCUUAGGAUUGUAAAAUCCUUUCACCGGUGAAGAUAAUGACUGUAGCCGGAGAAGAAGCCCCGGCUAACUUCGUGCCAGCAGCCGCGGUAAUACGAAGGGGGCUAGCGUUGCUCGGAUUUACUGGGCGUAAAGGGCGCGUAGGCGGACAUUUAAGUCAGGGGUGAAAUCCCGGGGCUCAACCUCGGAACUGCCUUUGAUACUGGGUGUCUUGAGUAUGAGAGAGGUGUGUGGAACUCCGAGUGUAGAGGUGAAAUUCGUAGAUAUUCGGAAGAACACCAGUGGCGAAGGCGGCUUACUGGACUGUAACUGACGCUGAGGCGCGAAAGUGUGGGGAGCAAACAGGAUUAGAAACCCGAGUAGUCC